AUUCCCCAGUACGGCGAGUGAGCGGGAAGAGCUCAAGCUUAAAAUCUCCAUACUUGUAUGGCGAAUUGUAGUCUAUUGAGGCUGUUGUCAGCAUCGCGAUUGGGGACAAGUCCCUUGGAAAAGGGCAGCAUGGAGGGUGAUACUCCCGUCUCUGCUCCAAUCUGCGGUGUGUACGAUACGCUUUCUUUGAGUCGAGUUGUUUGGGAAUACAGCUCAAAGUAGGUGGUAAAUUCCAUCUAAAGCUAAAUAUUGGUGCGAGACCGAUAGCGAACAAGUACCGUGAGGGAAAGAUGAAAAGAACUUUGAAAAGAGAGUUAAAGAGUACCUGAAACUGUUGAAAGGGAACCGUAUCGUUUCCAGUGUUGUAUCCUAUGCAUAUUUCAUUCGUGGAGUAAUUUACGGGUGCCCUGUGCAUGGGUGUGACGUCAGGGUCAGUUUGUAUGCUGCGGGAGAUGGUCAGUGAGGAGGUGCGUCACUUCGGUGAAAGUUAUAUCUCGCUGUCUAGUAGCCGUGGUUGAGACUGAGGUGCCUACAACAUGCCUUAAGGUUCUAUGUUGUCUCGUGUUGAUGACUGCUUUGAUAGCUUGCUAUGUCUGUGGUUUAUUAAUGCGAUUGAUGAUGUGGAUAACUUUUGCUGUUCGGGACUCUGGCGAAAUGGAGCGAUACGACCC
rnacentral:rRNA from 1 species